CCCGCGGCAACGGGCGGGCGCCCAGCCUGAAAAUUAAGCGAGGCUCGUUGGAGGCCGCGCGGUAUCAUCCCAGGGCCACACUGUCAUUCCCCCUCUGCCAUCUCAGUAGGAGUCCACCUGGGGCGCCCCAUAACCUCUCGCCCCACAGAUGACGACUUUGUCUCAGGCCCCCGCAGCCCUGACUUCUGUAAUCUCUCUCCGCAUCCCAGGGAGGAUGCGCCUUCUUGGGAAGAAGAAUUUAUCCCUGUUCCUGACUCUACUGUCUUCUCUAGGUCACUCAGAUUCUAGGUCCCAAAUUAAGUCCACACCUUUGUCUCCUUUUCCAUUCUAUUCCAAAUGAGCCUUCUUUUUACCUAAUCUGGGGGGAAAAAAAAAGAAAAGAAAAGAAAAAAAAAAGGGCAGGUGUCCAGUUGGUAAUUGAGUCAGGAAAAGUGGGUGGAGCAGGGGUGGGAAGCUCCACAAGGCAGGGACCAAGUCUGGUAGGUGGGCUGGUUUUCAUUGAGGUGCCCCUCUAGUGCCCACAACAGUGUCAGGCACACAGUAGGAGCCAAAUCUGUGUUGACCCAACAAAGCAGGUGUCACUGAAUGAAGGCCCGGUCUUCUGUCAAUUCUGUGCUACCCGAAGACCUCUUGGAGUCUCUCUCUUCCCCCAUCCUUACCCCUCAGUCCUACCCCGGCCACACUGGGAUGCAAGGACGGUGUCACACUGCCAAGUUCAGUACCUAGUGUCUGAGUUGUGCGAUUGCUGAUUUGUGGCUGGAGCCUCGGUUGCUCGGGGAAGCCCUCCGGGGAGUCACCAGAUCCAGGACCAGCUGGGUACAUCAUAACACUGAAAGGCUGAAAGAAAGAGAGGCUAUGUUGAAAAGUGUAGGCGGACGGGAGCAUCACAAGUUUUGGAGUUAGACCACCUGAGUUCACAUCCUGGCUCCGCCACUUCCCACCUGUGGAACCUCUCACGUUAUGAACCUCUUGGAGCCUCAGUUUCCUCCAACCUAGGAAAUAAGGGCCUUCCAAACUGUAAUGCUAAACAAGACCUCGCUGCAGAUUCCAAGGAGACCUGGCCUGGAGAAGAGGAAGCGUUGGGCUUCCCCGGCCAAAGGAAAAGUAGAAGUACAAUGUGCACCAUCUGCAGCCUUAUCAUGCCAGAAAUAUUCCAAGAAGAGAGACCAGAUGAGUUCCUUGAUUCAUCCCUUGAUUCAUGAAGAUGAAUCCCUUGAAUCUCCUUGAUUCAUGGAGAUGAUGAUACACCACUGGGUGCUUACAAGGAUACAGACCCUAUCUAAGGACUCUGGCCCUGGACUCAGUUUCUCCUGCCUCAAGUCCUCCUGUGCCCAAUGUCAAUGAGCAAUCCCAAACCCUGGAAGCUUACUGUACUGCCUCCUCAGUGGCCUCAUUCCCACUGUACUUCAGACACCCUUGGAGAAUCAUGGCUAAGUGCUGCUCCACCUCUGAAAUCAUAAGUUCACAAACCCAUCCCAGUGGAUCACACCUCAUGACUUUCAGCCUCUCCCACUCUCACUUCUGCGCCAGCUGUUAACUCCAUCAAACCCUGGAGCUCUCUCUUCUGUCCCCAUACCUCUCCUCGGUCAGCAUUUCUUUCUAUAUCCAGCAUGGAAUCCCCAUUAACCAUCUUUUAUCACUCUUCCCAUUAUCAACUCUCUUGUCCACUAUUCUUUAAUGACACCUGCCUCAGUCAGUAAAACCAUUCUCCUUCCUGGCUCCUACAUCUGGGCUGCUGAGCACUGGUGAAUAAAGUUACCAGGCCCUUGGACUGGAGCCAGUAGUGUGCUGGUCUCCAACCUCAUUCAGCCCUCAACCCUCCCCAGCAAUCCUUUGUUUUCAAUUAGCUUUCUCUCCCAUUUCCAUGAUGACCAUUCUUCUCUAACUCGUUGUCCUAUGAUCUCCCUUCUUGUUCUCUGGAGAUCAUCUCCCUGCCAACUUUAGAGAAAAAAAAUAGAACUACCAAGUGAAAACUCUCUACUCCUUGUUGCCACACCAACACACUGACCAGCAUCCAUAGCCACCUUUCUUCCUUCCCUCCCAACACAGUGGCUCACAAUUCCACCAUGCUUGGGAUCCCUUCCUCCUGCCUCCUCAGAGAUUAUGCUCAUUAUGCUCACCCCAUGCUUUUCUUUCCUGACUCCUUGCCAUCACCAUUUAAACAUGCUUCAGAUCUCUCCUAUAUGAAACUCUUGCCUAGCCCAAGGCCCCCUCCAGCCAUCCCUCCAUCUCCCCACCACUCCUUCACAGCCAAGCUUCUUGAGUUGUCUGCUCCUGAUAUCCAUACUUCUUUACCUUUCAUUCAUCUUCAUUCCACUGAAAUGUAGCUUCUACCCUCAUCACUCCACUGAGACUCCCCAUCAAAGUGCCUUCCUGGUUGCCAAAUAUAAUGGGCCAUGCUCCAGGCUUUAUUAUUUCUUGAAUGCUCUAUAAUUUUGCAUACUUCUUCCCUUGUAAGAUUUUCUUCCCUUGGAAGGAGCCUCGGUGUCCAUCGAAAGAUGAAUGGAUAAAGAAGAUGUGGUCUAUGUAUACAAUAGAAUAUUACUCAGCCAUUAGAAACGACAAAUACCCACCAUUUGCUUCAACGUGG